CCACGGUGUGCAGACGUGUUUUUAUUGCUCUUGUUAUCUUCGCAGUGCUUCAAAGGGAAAUGUUGAAAUUGGCCUCUCCACAGAAUGCACCGUUAAAGCCAGUACCAUCCCUGAUAAACUCUUGAUGUUAAAGGGAUAACCAGACCGGCAACCACCUUUCCAUCUCCUUGCUGUUCGGACCGACCUUGUCCUGUUUCGGACAUGUGGAAUGAACUGUCACUGAAGAAUGAGGGAAGACAUCAACGAAGAAAGCGAAAAGGUGUGGUCCUUCUAUGCCGUUCACUAAUUGUGAUGCAAUCAGCCAGAGAAAAAGUUGGACGAAACAUAACAGGAUUUGCACCCAUAUCGAAGUUUGACUAGAUGUUUUCUUCAUAAAUAAGGAUGUAUUCAGAAAUUUCUUGUUCUCCAAAGUGGUCCAUUGCAGAACUUGUGUACCAGUACAAGUGGCAAGCAGGAUAAUAUAUGGCACUUGUAUUAAAACUAAUUAAAAUCACAACUAUCACAGGUGCUUGACCUUUUGCCAGUCGAGGAAAGUGCUCUCCAUGACAAGAUUCUUUUCUCCCUAAUUUUGUAUGGUACUAUCCUUCUGUUGGAAUCACAUGAGAAGUGAUUUAAUGUCAACAGAAAGUGUGAUGAUUGUUACUGCGAAUCUGCAGAAACUGGUGAGCUGUACAACUGGCUGCUAACCGCUCAUCUUGAAUAUUUGAUCUCAUACAACUGUCAGAUUGUAUUAAAACUUUAUUUUGUCAGGAAAAGAAAUGCAGAAUGCUACAGUUUCCUCAGUACGGAGAGGAACAGUGUAGCAAGUCCAGGUCACCUAACCUGUAUCUCAUGAAAUCUCGAAUAACUAGUUUACGUAGAUGAUUUGAACCACUUAUCCAAAGGGCAAUAAAAUUCAACAUGGGUUUUUAAGAAGUAUGGAAGACUUAAAAGGACCUGAUUCCUGAAACAGUGACGGGGGAUAAUACAUUUGCAGGUCAAUGUCUCAACAUCCCAAAACCUGAUUGAUUUUUCAGAGUCGACCGUCACCAGCCAUCCGAAGUUGUAAGCAUAACGGGCGUGAGCAUGAUAUGCUACACGUAGCUCACGAAUGACUUGGAAAUCCGCUAUAGAACAUUCAAGGCGCAUCACUUGAGCAAUGGAAUGAUCUUCUAUCCUUUCGACGGCUAAUCCGGUUGGACUGAGAAAUCGGCGUAUCGUUAUCCGCGUAUCGAAAUGUAAAGGAACUUGGACGUAGCGAUCUGGGAAGCAGUCAGCAGUCGGGAGGUAUGGCCUGUCACAGGAGAUCAACAGAUUAUGUGCUGAGUGAAAUAGUCCCACUGACAGAUAGUUCCAUCUUGAUGUGAACUAAAGAUGAAAUCACCUUGUAGCUGCAGUUGCCUUAUAGGAGCUUGAAUUGCCCCCGUUAAAAGACAAUUGAAUUUCAACG